CCAUAUUGGGUGAUAGCCCCGUACACGAAAAUCUCUUAUCAAUGAAAUCGAGUAGGACGGAGCACGAGAAACUUUGUCUGAAUAUGGGGGGACCAUCCUCCAAGGCUAAAUACUCGUAAUCGACCGAUAGUGAACCAGUACCGUGAGGGAAAGGCGAAAAGAACCCCGGGAGGGGAGUGAAAUAGAUCCUGAAACCGUAUGCGUACAAGCAGUGGGAGCCUACUUUGUUAGGUGACUGCGUACCUUUUGUAUAAUGGGUCAGCGACUUAUUUUCAGUGGCGAGCUUAACCGAAUAGGGGAGGCGUAGCGAAAGCGAGUCUUAAUAGGGCGUUUAGUCGCUGGGUAUAGACCCGAAACCGGGCGAUCUAUCCAUGGGCAGGUUGAAGGUUAGGUAACACUGACUGGAGGACCGAACCGACUACCGUUGAAAAGUUAGCGGAUGACCUGUGGAUCGGAGUGAAAGGCUAAUCAAGCUCGGAGAUAGCUGGUUCUCCUCGAAAGCUAUUUAGGUAGCGCCUCAUGUAUCACUGUAGGGGGUAGAGCACUGUUUCGGCUAGGGGGUCAUCCCGACUUACCAAACCGAUGCAAACUCCGAAUACCUACAAGUGCCGAGCAUGGGAGACACACGGCGGGUGCUAACGUCCGUCGUGGAGAGGGAAACAACCCUGACUUACAGCUAAGGCCCCUAAUUCGUGGCUAAGUGGGAAAGGAUGUGGAAAUCCCAAAACAACCAGGAGGUUGGCUUAGAAGCAGCCAUCCUUUAAAGAAAGCGUAACAGCUCACUGGUCUAAAUAAGAGGUCCUGCGGCGAAGAUGUAA
rnacentral:rRNA from 1 species